GCACCCAUAGCUCAACUGGAUAGAGCACCUGACUACGGAUCAGGAGGUUGAGGGUUCGAACCCCCCUGGGUGUACCA
rnacentral:tRNA from 2 species